UUUUUUUUUUUUUUUUUUUUUAUGUUUAAGCAUUUAUAAUAAUCUUCUUUUGGAUGUAAUCCGAUAUUUUGACACACCCUCAAAUGCAAGAUUCUCUAGCUAACAUCCCUUGUUAUGUCAUGUUCUGUGAGCUAAAAAAAGCCAACCUUCCUGGGGCCAUUGGCUUAUCUAUUGUUCCAGAAUUCUCGUGUUGAUGUUAAGCAGCGUCUUCAAACCUGAAGGAAGAAGAAGGCAGUCAGUCAGCUAUAAUUAAUGAUCAGCAAGAUAACCAAAAUCCUAGAGUGUUUUGAAGUUUGGAAUUGGGGAUUUAUCCUUUUAUUUUAUUAGGAGAAAAGCUGAAGGGCCUGCUCCAGUUGGCCAUUGAGUGGGCACGCUAGUAUGAAGAGCUGCAAACUCGGUCUCUGAUGUUUGCAUUUGGAGUCAUUUUGUUCCGUCUUUCAGAGUGAAACACAUUUACUCGUUCUCUUAUUUCAAUAGUCCAUGCAUGAUUUUCAAUCAACAUAUUUUCUUCUUUGUUUUUUCAAGCCCCUUUCAAGAAAAAUGUAAACUUGGCUCAAGAGACAGAAAGCUGUACAUGUAUAAAACUGUAGAAGCAAAUGAUGGAUUCAGUACUGUUAAUUGUUAAACUGAGACUUUGUGGAUGGAGAAAUUGUCAUCUACCAUGUAAAAGUCCAAUUAAUGUAGAGGCAGCAAAUGCUUUCCCUAGACCAAAUAGAAAAACUUGAUAAAGUAAUGACAUUGUUCUGAUUCCACCCCAUCAUAUUGACUCGGUCGUUCACUUCAAAGAGAAAUACAAACGAUGAAGUCGUUAUCUUCAGUCUGAUGGACCCAUUAUGCAUCAUUUUCAAGUUUGUUCUUUUUGGUUAAAACAUAUAUCAAUGUCACACUGGAAAUAAAAAAACACUUGCUUCUUGAUGUGCUUGCUCACUGGCAUUCCGCCAACCAAAUUUAAUUGGCCGUCUAAAGGAAGGAGAGAUCAUGACCCCACGCAGAUAUCCCCCCAAAAUAAGCUCUUAGUUUCUGUUCUGUUACAGGUAACAUAAACUGCAAUAUUUAAUGUCCGACUUUCAUUUUUGAGAUGGCCAAGUUUCAUGUUAGACUAAUUUUUUUUUUCUCAAACGUCAUGUUAGACUAAUUAGGCAUGCAAUUUCUGCAGAGCGAUCCAAACCUUAAAGGGAUUGUUCAUCUGUCGAGAUCCUUUGUACACUUUCUUUACCAAAAGGAAAUAUGAAGUAAACUCUAAACAAGAGAAAGUGAAAUGAAUGAGAAGCCUCAGAAACGGAGGAAGACAUCAUAGCAAGUAGGGGGAUCAUCUAACCAGCUACAGUAGGAAGAUAGAGACAGAUAACAAGUAAUUUUCAACUAACAAGAAAGAGUAAAAUAUCCCUUUAUCUAUUUACCCAUGGCAGAAAUGGGGAGGUUGAAUAACGAAUUUAAUUGAACAAAUUGGUUCCCAUGUUAGACUCUGUGUUUGAUUUCCCAAGAAGAUAAUUUCCCACGUUUGAAUUUAUCUUAUCCGGACUCUAGAGGAGGAGGAGGAGGAGGAGGAGGAGGAGGAGGAGGAGAAGGAUAGUGUGCUGUAGUCCGCAAAAUCGAUAUGGUUACUUGGGCGCAAAUAAAUUUGGACGCUAACUGCCAAGAUGGCCGAUUGUUACGAUGUUUGGCAUCACUCCCAAAUAAAAAAAAAAUGCUAAGCUCUUUGGCAUCACUGCCAUUAGAGGAGUUUUAUGUAGUAGUAGUAGGAAACUAUUAACUCCAUAAAACAUAUUACUCCCUCUUACCCAUUUUGAUAGUUCUGUUUUCCUUUUUCGUUUGUCCCAAAUUGUAGUCCAAUUUCCAAUUGAAGAAUGUAGUUGUCUUUUAAUUUUCCUAAAAUAUCCUUAUUCAAUGUAAGUUAUUGUUCCUAUAAACCUACCUUAUUUAAUGAGAAUUUAUUCUUUUUUUACCAUCAAUUCAAGUUUCCAUAAAGUUGUACUCUAAUUAAUGUGAGGGUAUUUUGGAAAAAUAACUACCUAAAUUGAUUGUUCCAACAAAGUUAACUACUUUUUCUUAAACUGUGUGAAAAAAGAAUCAGCACUAUCAAAGUGGGACGGAGGGAGUAAUUGUUGAUGCAUUGGUAGUUAUGGGGAGGGUUAGAUUGAUUGGUAAGGUGGGAAGGAAUAAAAAAAUACUGAUAACUGUAGAAUUACUCGAAGAAUAUGUAAGCGCCCUGAUUCCUAAUACGUGCCAUCCCCUUCCAAAUCAAAUUAUAGUACAAUUUUAGACAUCACCCUCCCUUAGUUCAUCAGCAAUGGCUAGAAAAAGGAAAAACGAUUCAUUUUUCAAGAUUUAAUCCAUAAUCUUACGUCUAUUACUUAACUUGCUUUGUAAGGGAAAACCAUCCAACACAUGCUUUGAGAUGACAGAAAGCAAGCAACAACUAGUACGAACAUGUUGCCGCAAUUAACAAACACCAUUCACUACAAAUGAAAGAAAACAAAAUUAAAAAAUAAAAGCUUGAGGAAGGUUUUGGGUUUUUUUUUUUUUUUAGCUAGACAGUGGCUAUAGGUAUAAACGAGUUUAAUCAAACUGAUUACCUUAGCAUUCAAGCUUAUUUAGAGGUGUAAACGAGUUUAAUUAAGCCGAUCACCCUCGUAUUCAAACUUAUUUGAUUAUUUUAAUGAAUUUGAAAUUUUGCUCAAACUUGACUUGUUUAUUUGCUGAAUUGAAGUUGAAUGAACUUUUUAUCGAACUUGAAAAAUAUUAAGCAUAAAAUAUCAUUUAAACUUGACUUGACUAAUUGGCGAAUUAAAUUCGAACGAACUUUUAUCAAAUCGAGUUCGAUUCGAAUAUUAAGCAGUUUGAUUCAUCUUUCAAUCUUAGCACCGACCGACUUGGCAAACAACUCAAGGACAAUGCAGUUGUCCAUUAAUCCCUAAAAUUAGGCUCGAAAGACCGACUUUUAACACCACCUCGUCUUCUGUUGUGGCCAGUAAAUGAAGAAGCAUGUAAUGCAAAACACAACAUACUUGCUCUGCUUCGUUAUACUUUGACGCAUUCAGAGGAAUAAAGAAUAUGAAGAAACCAAGUACAAGUACACUCCCAAAAAUCAAAAUAAAAGCAUACCAUCAAUGACCAAUGAAUGACUCACUUUCCAAUCUUAUACGUUCUUCCAUUGUGAAACAUAAUCUUUUAUUAUAUAUUUUAUUAAACAAUUAACAGCUGGUCCCUACGAAGAACGCCUUUCAGGGAAAAGCCCCCAAAAAAAAAAAUUAAAAAAAAAGAUGAAUAAUUUUUUUUUUUUUGCUUGGUUGUGUCUCGGACUAAAAUGUCGUACUUGACCUAAACCACCAUCUAUUCUUUUAGAUGUUAUCCUUUGGCGACAGGAAUUUUAAGCUAAAUAAAUGCACGCUUCUUUUGUUCCUUUGUUGUUCUCUUCCCUUUCUUUCAGCAAUAAGUUCUGGGAUGUCAUCAUGUAAACUACAUACUAAGAUCCUGAACAUAAUCCGUUAAUUGAGAUUCAUAUAAAUAGUUUAUAGGAUCGAAAGAUGAAACAGACUAUUCGAUACUCGAAUGGAACUUAGUUUGGUAAAAUUUCGUUCAAAUUUAAUUUGUUAAUUAGUCAAGUCAAAUUUAAAUAAUAUUUUAUAAUGAAUAACAUUCAAACUCGAUACAGAAUUUCGUUCAAGUUCGAUUAGGUAAAUAAAUAAGUUAAAUUUAAAAAAAAUUCAAAUUCGUUAAAAUAAUCAAAUUCACUUGAGCACUAGUGUAUUCGAUUUGAUUAAACUCGUUUAUGCCAUUAGUAUAUAUAUAACAACAUGCUAUUUCAUGCAAUUCUAUGUACAUUGCUCAUUUGCUCCAAGAUUUGAAACUAAAAGUACGAAAAGGUUUACGCAUAAAUUCUUCUAGCCUCGAAGAGCUGAGAUUCUGACCAGUAUGUAUCACUUACUUGGAACAUGCAAACCAAUAUCUGUUUGCGUACAAAUUGGAUAAUUCUCUGUACAAAAUGGCAUACCAUUUGAAGAUAACUAUUAACUCGUCCAAUCAAAUCCAAGUAUAAUAUUUUCCUUUUCUGAGCUCAACUGUUUCAAGUUAUCCUCUCUUUUAAACAACGUUAUCUUAUUAAAGACAAUUUAACUUCAAAAUAAUUAGUAGUUACAUGCAUCCACGAUCAAUAUCUUAUUCUCAGACGUGGAAAUCUCUUUAAAUCCUAAGAAUUUAUCCAACCAUAGUUUUGCAUGUUUAUGAGUUCAGCCACAUAUGGCUAUGAAUUAUCUUCUAUUUUCUAGCAAUUCAGUUGCCAAAAGCAUAAAACAGUAAAUACUUCAAAAGAUAUGAAAAAAAAAUUCAAGGUAAUUUAUUGCUACGUCUAAGAACUUCUAAUGUCGUGAAACGAUCCAAAAUUACAAAACUUCACUCUUUUUUUUUUUUGGGUUGAUGAAAUAAAUUAUAAUAAAACUUGAAGACUAAUCCAUCUUUACUGGUGCGCUUUUGAUCUCAUUAAAUCUUGGCACCGAUUAUGAACAUUUCAACGCAAACAUGGUACAGUUUUUUUUUUUUUUAUCGAAUACGACAUAAGACACACACACCCAACUAAUUAAAUUUGACUGAGGAUUAAAGCUAAGAGCACCUAAGAGGUAACCUAAGGGGGACCCACAAAGCUUACCUAUCCAGCCAAUUGGUAACUGGAAGGUAAACUUGUGGACCUUAAGCCCAGGUUAAAGAACCCACGUCCUAGCGAUGUGGGACGGAUGCCCAUCCCCCCAGCAGAUCUCACCACGUGAACGGUUGUUUCUUUUUUAUCGAAUACAACAUAAGACACACACAUCCAACUAAUUAAAUUUGACUGAGGAUUAAAGCUAAGAGGACUAAGAGGUAACAUAAGAGGGACCCAUAAAGCUUACAUAUCCAGCCAAUUAGUAACUGGAAGGCAAACCGCAAACAUGGUACAGGCUACAGACUUUAGUGUCACUGUUGUACCUGAUUUUGGAGUCACUAAAUUGGAGAGUAAGAAGAGCAUCACCUCUGACCACCAAUUAAUAGUUUUCUAUUAUCCCCAAAAAAAAAAAAAUCCAAGAAACUAUUUUCCACAUAAUCAUGGGCCCCCAAGAUUUUCAAUAAAUUGUGAGGGCCUCUAAGCAAUAUUAAUGCUGUCCUUCGUCUUAGUAGAAAUAGAGACGUUGGUUCUUAGGUGCCCUUUUAUUGCCGGCCCCUCCUCCCUCUCUUUUUCUCCUCUCUUCUGCUUCAUCAUCAUAAUCACACCCACAAAAACAACAAAUUGUCUCGGCACUCUGUAUAAAAAAAUCCAAUCAAAUCACGCCCUCUUGAGUGUUAUUCUUCCUCGCCAGUUCUAAACUAAUUUUUAAAACUGUUAUUUUUGAUGAACAUAUAAUCUCUCCUUUAUCUUUCCAAACUUAUAAAACUAGGUUCUUGAGUGAACCAUACGCUUCUCGAACUAUAUAUAUUGAGGCAGAGGCGAAUAAAAACUGAACCUUUUCGCAUAGUUCUUCUUUAGUCUGAAAUGGUGGUGAAGAUGAUGAAGUGGAGGCCGUCCAAGAAAUUUGAGGCUAAAAUCAUGAUAAAUCAACUAAAAGGCUUCAAGUUUUCGCCAGAGAUGUCAAUGGUUGUUCAAGAUUUUUCAAGACUGGCUGUGGAGAUUAAGUGGAAAGGAUCAAAGGGCAAUGCUUUGAGUUCUUUGAGAAGAAUUGUCAAGAGGAAUAUCACAAAGGAAGAGUCUUUAAGAGCAGAUGGAGUUGUUGAAUGGAAUGAGGAGUUUCACAGUUUAUGCAAUUUCGCUGUUUAUAAAGAUGGUGUUUUUUACCCUUGGGAGGUGGUUUUCACCGUCUUCAAUGUGAGUUCUCAAUUGGGAUUGCUUUGCUUUUGAUUCUUGUUCAUUGACUUUUUCCCUUUUCUGGUGGAGAUUUUUUAUUCUACAUUAUUGGGUUUCUUGGAUGCUGUAUAUUGAUGAUAGCAGAUGCUUUGACUUUUUGCCAUGCUCUGUUGGGAUUUAACAAGUUGAUUCUGUGUUACUAGUGUGAAACUAUAUGAAAAUGUCAAACGAGGCAUAGUUUUAGGUAGGCUAAUUACAAUCAAAUAUGUUUAUUUGCUUUAAUUAUGCGAAAUCUUUUAUUGUUAUAAAACUGCAUAGUGGUAGUGUCUUCAGUUGAAAUUUCUGGGUUAGGACGAAACUUUGACCUUUGAUUAGUGAGGACUGAGAUGGAAUUAUCCUUGCUCCGUUGUUAAUAAAUUUCCACUGAUUGAUCGGUCUGCAAUUCACUAAUAAAUUAUCCCUUUCUUGGUUUUCUGGGAAUGCGGAAUGUUGUCAGUAUCUAUUUUAUGGUAAUUUCCGUUCUUCAAUUUGAUUGCUUAUGCUAUGCGGCAGUCUUGUCCUUUUCUUGCUGGAUUACUUCGUUGAAUUGCAUAAUUAAUCUCCCAAAACAAAAAAGCUUUCUUUUUCUUAAGGCUGAAAUAAAUAAAAACUACUUAUUCGGCCUUUCUUUUUCAAAGUUUUUUUUUUUUAUUGUCUCUGUUCCUUCCUUUUUUUCAUUUUUUUGCGAAAAUGUAACAUAUUUUUCCUCAAAAAGAAAUUUGAGUAAUACUACUAGUAUUGUAUUUCUUGACCAAUAUGUUGGGUGGGUGUUUUUCGUUGUUGGUUGAAGAAGAAAAGAUCUUCCAUCAAAAAUGGUCGCCAACUCUUUUGUCAUUUCCUGUUAGGCAUGCACUUUUAAAAGUAGUGGCAAUUUUUAUGGUAGCAAAUAUCUAUCUAGUUUAUUAUCCAGCCACAAAUUUCUUGGAAUAUGUCAAGCACUCAACCCCUCAAGUGUUGACCACCUUAUAAGGCUGUUCUCCAUGUGAACUGGUCCUCAGAGGCUAUCAACUUUCUAAUAACUAAUGAUUUUGUGUGGCUAAGUGGAGCCGCUUAUAUUUUUAUCUCAUUGUGGACGUGACGUAAACCUGAUGUAGAGCUUACACCAUUUCGUGCUUCUUUUUCUUUGCAAAGGUCGCGUGCACUCGUGUUAUGGCAAUUUUAUGAUCCACACUAAUGCCCAUUCUUGUCCUGUUGCUUAUUGGCUGAAAAGAGGAAGCAACGGAUGAAGAAAAAAGAAUGAUAAUUAUUAUACCAAGGAACACAGUUAUGGCAUAUUUGUGAAACAGGAGAGCGAAAGCUGCUCCCUUAACUUGCACCGAUUGUCCUAUUGAGCUAUAUGACUUUGUAAUCCAAGAAUCCUUUUUUUUUUUUCCUUUUUUUCUGUGUGUGUGUGUGUGUGUUUGGUUACUUGGAACUAAUCAUUUCUAGUUUCAUCUUAUUAGAUUUUACCAAUGGUGAUGCCGUACAAUUACAUCAAUUGAAUUUGUUUGGAAACCUGUAUGACCUUCUGCUGCGUAACAGGGUUCAAACGGAGGAGAGCUUGACAAGGUCCUCCUUGUUGCUACAGCAUCAUUGAACCUUGCAGACUUCACCUCUACAGCCGAAAAAAAAGACGUUGAAGUUAGCAUUCCUCUGCAAGUAUCCAACUCCAACAAUGAGAGCAAUGCAUCACUCCAUGUAAGCUAAUUAAAAAUUGCUCGGCCGUUUUACACUUUUAUUUUUAAAGCGCCUCAGUUCCACGCUUAUUCUUCUUUUUAAUGUUUUUUGUUCUUAAAUCUCAAAAAGAUGGUUAUCGUUUCUUGUUGUCACUUACGUCCAUUUUCUGAAAGCACAUCUCAUCUUGGUUACAGCUAUCUCUUAGACUUCAAGAAAUGAGAACUUCUCAGGAGCCUUCGGAAUUAAUUCAAAGACCAUUUGCCUGUCUACCACUCUCACCCUACCGUGAAGUUCUGUCAACAGAGAAAGAUGAGGUUUCCACCCUAAAAGCCAGUUUAAGAAAGGUAAAUCUUUUCAAGGGACUAUCUACUAAGAAACCUAAGAAGGAAUCUCGUGAGGAUGAAGGAAGUGAUGGAAAGAGCUCAGUCAGAAGUGACGAUGCUCCAUGCAUCUACCCAUUGGACACGGAUUCACUAGAUGUUUCCGAUGAAGAAGAGGAUGCUAAAGAAGGAAAGGAUACCCAUAUCAGGAAGUCAUUGAGCUAUGAAACAUUGAAAUCUGCAAACCAUGCCGGAAGAUUGUUUUACUCCAGCACAAGCAGUAGUGAAGAUGAGGAUUGGAUCUUCUAUAGCUGUGAUAAAGUAGAUGCAGGAAACUUGUCUCAUGAUGACCCAAUUGCGUCAGUCUCUAUAACUGAUCAGUCCCUGAAUAGUUCAAUGCGCAGAAUUCUUCCAUGGAGGAAAAGGAAGAUGAGUUUCAAAUCUUCGAAAGCCAAAGGAGAGCCACUACUGAAAAAACACUACGGAGAUGAGGGUGGGGAUGAUAUUGAUUAUGAUCGCCGUCAACUUAGUUCUUCUGAUGAAUCAAGCUUUGCAGUAAGCAUUAUCUUUUCCUGCUAUGUUGCUAAAUGAUUCUUUCCAACUCUCAUGAUGAUAAUUUAAUGGAAGUGGUAACAUGACUCCUAUUUAUCUCCUCAGAAAUUGAUCAAGCUUUACUACGUUUACUAUUGCAGCUGCUCAAAACUGAGGAAGAUGCAAUAACAACUAGAUCUUCAGUUUCUGAAUUUGGAGACGACAAUUUUGCAGUGGGUAGUUGGGAACAAAAAGAGAUUUUUAGUCGUGAUGGGCAAAUGAAGUUGCAAACCAAAGUUUUCUUUGCUUCAAUUGAUCAGAGGAGUGAACGAGCUGCAGGUGAAGGAGCAUGUACAGCUCUGGUUGCUGUUAUUGCUGAUUGGUUCCAAGCCAAUCCUGAUGAAAUGCCCAUCAAGUCCCAACUCGACAGCCUGAUCCGAGAAGGUUCAUUGGAAUGGAGAAAUCUCUGUGAAAAUGAGACCUACAGGGAGCGGUUCCCAGACAAGCAUUUUGACCUUGAGACUAUCCUUCAGGCUAAAGUUCGUUCACUUUCUGUAGUUCCGGAGAAGUCCUUCAUUGGCUUUUUCCAUCCAGAAGGAAUAGAGGAUGAAGGUUUCGAUUUUCUUCAAGGUGCCAUGUCCUUUGACAACAUUUGGGACGAGAUCUCUCAAUCCGGACAAGAUUGCACUGCUGAUGCUGACCCUGUAGUCUAUAUUGUAAGCUGGAAUGAUCACUUUUUCAUCCUCAAGGUUGAACAGGAUGCAUACUAUAUAAUUGACACAUUGGGGGAGAGGCUUUUUGAAGGCUGCAACCAAGCAUUUAUCCUCAAAUUUGACAGAGAUACAACAAUUUAUCAGGUACCUAAUGACACUCAAAAAUCGGAUGAUAAAGCUGCUUGUAAUAAAGUGGAGCAAAAUGACCUGAAGGAGGCUGUUGUUGCUGAAGAACAAAUUGCUGUUGAGAAUGAAGAAGAAUCAGAUCCCGUCUGCCAAGGCAAAGGUUCCUGCAAAGAGUACAUUAAGAGCUUUUUGGCUGCAAUUCCCAUAAGGGAACUACAAGUUGACAUCAAAAAGGGCCUGAUGGCUUCAACCCCUCUUCACCACCGGCUACAAAUUGAAUUCCACUAUACCAAGUGCUCACGACCUGUGCUGGUCCCUGAUUGCAUGCAAGCAAUUGGUCAUACGGAGGAAGUUCUACCUUUGGCAGCAUAGAAUGUGGUGUUUUUGGGCCGUCUAACUCAAUCAUUUUGUUGUGCGAUUUGCGUUUUAAGAUUUUCCCCUUGAGAAUGCCCUUUUUACGAGGACUGCUCUUGUACAGGCAAUUAUCUUUUCUACCUUCUAAAUGUAAAGGUGCACCUUGUUACCUUUAUGCAGCAUUUUCUAGAACCUUAAGAGGUUGAUGCUGUAAAUGACCAUAAAUCUAGAGUACUUGUAACUUUGUUGCAGUUGCUUUUAUUGUAUUCGCUAGAAAUUUGGAAAAAUUAACUGGUCCAUCAUCGUAUGGCUGGGAGCAAGGGCUGUGCCCCUCAACUAAUUGAUGGAUUAAUAAGGUCGUGACAUUAGCAUCUUGCUCCCUUUUACUCCAGAAAGUGAGAUCUUCAAACUAAAAAAGGAACAUGAAACUGGGGUGCAACUGGAUUUCAAAUACAGGAUAUGAAAACUUAGCAAAAGCAGCGUGCUGCGACAUUGUUUCUUUGUCCUCGACCUCCAGGAUACAUUUAGAAGCACAGAAAACAAUUGAACUCCAUCCCCAAGUUGCUAGUCAGACAGCUAAGCCGGACUUGUGAACAAUUCAUGAAGGAAUUUCCUCCCCAAGAUGGAAAAGAGUACCAGUAUACCAGCAGGGAUAUGCAUCAUGCCUGAAUGUACAAAAGCAGACCAAAGCCAGGCAGAACAAAGGCUACAUCUACAUGUGGCCAAGCAGAAGCUAAUAAGAGAAACAAGACUCAAAUGAUAUCCAAUUCAUCAGAUUCCGCCAGGCCUAAAUUUCUCUAGCUAAUUUGUCAAAAUAGGAUUCUGCCAUGGCAGUCAGCAUGCAACUUGAUAUAACACAUAAUUUAGUUCAUCCAAUAACCUAUGUUCUGACAGCACUAAGCUUAAUUUAAAAAAUCACAAGCAUUACUCAUAGUCCUACCAAAAACUUAUGGGGCACCAAUAACCACAACUAGGAAUAGUUGAGACAACAAUCCUAUUGGGAAAUCUAUGCAAACAAUUUAAACCUUCAUCUUGAAAUUUCUUUUGUAAUUUGAGAUGCCGGACAUAGUGAUUGGAGGUGCUACAACUUAAGCGCUUUCAAGUCUGGCAUAGCUGGGAGGCAAGCUUUACCACUCCCUGCAUGGAUGUGUCGUUCUGUCAAAAUGAUAAAGAGACAAAUCAAUUAGCAUUAAGAAACUGCAUUUCCCUCCAUUUCGUACUUCAGAGAGAGAGAGCAAAAGAAGCCAAAAACAUGCAACCUGUAUCUAUAAAAAAGAAAACGAAACUCUAGCAAGAAAGUGCAGCUUACAGUCCUAGUAAACAGGCAUUGUUGUAACAAAAGAAGCACAAGACUUAAUUUAGCUCAAGCAUCCAAUCAUGAAAGAAGAACUUUUUGCCUAUUGGGAAAGUUAGUGUCCUAGGAAACAGGCAUUUCUAUAACAAAAGAAUCACAAGACUUAAUUUUGCUCAAGCAUCCAAUCAUGAAAGAACUCAACAAGCUUCUGGCAUGUUCCAAAUGAAAUCAAGAUCUGUUCGAUCAAGACAUUCACUUUAGAAACAUAAGAAGACCAUAUAACUUUAUUCUUUUUUCUAAAUAAAAAAUGAAGGCCAUAUAACAGUAUAUCUUAUGGACAGUCACUAUUUCUGUAUUCUGGAAGUGUCUCAGGACCCUCUUUAUUAAAAGCAGAGAACAGGAGAAAGAAGCUUGACUUGUUCUAUAACAUUUCAACUUACCAGAUAAACUACAUCAAAGGCCUUCUGAUAGCUCUCAAGAGAGUUUUCCACAUUGUCAUUCCUAAAAUAAGAAUUUUAUGAAGUCAAAAAACAAAUAUAUUGUAAACCAUGAUUUAAAAGAAAGAGAGAGAGAGAGAGAGAGAGAGAGAGAGAGAGAAGCUUAAUAACAAAGCACAUUUAGGCAAGUGAAGCAGAUUUGUAUAACAUUCUUUUUCAUAGUCUGGUAAAUGACAUGUUCUAUGGAGUUUAGCAGGAAGAUUAUUUGAACAAAUUUGGAAUUUCAAAUUCUUAAUGCAUUUCAUUCUUUCUACUCAGUGGAACUGACAUUUUGUCAAUUCAAUGCAACAGAAUUCAUCAGUAAAUGAGACAAAACUGCUUUAAAAGCUCCAAGAUAUUUCACUUUCUCUUUAACUUUUUUCCCAGCAAAAUGAUUGUUCUUAGAAAAGGAAGCUGCAGUACAGAUUGCUAGGUAGCCAGUAGUAUAGUGAUUCACUUUCUUAAAUGCUAUUGAAAAACUUGAGUCAAACUGUUGUACACUUACAGAAAUCCAACAGAGAUCCGCGUUUCAUAUUUGAGACCAUCAGACAUUCCCAGGUCUCCAAUGUGAUCACCAAGUAGCAGCACAUUAGUUCUCUUCUUUACAAAGGAAUUGUCUUCAUUUAGCCCAUUGACAUUGUCAAUUCUAUCAUGAACAAGUGCAGCCAUAUCAAGCGCAUGCUCAUUCUUAUUCAGAACAUGAAUUGUCUUUCCUGCAGCAAAUUUUAAGUUAAACCAUGGACCUAAUGUUUAAAAUAUCACCACUAUCUGCCUUUGCAGACUAGAACACAAGCUUGGCUACAAUUAUAAAUGUAGAAGAAGGCAUGUCCCAGAACAAUUCAUUAAGAUAUUCAAGAAGGAAAGUGAAAAUUCAAAUGUUUACAUUACUGAAAUUGCAUUGUACUUGUUUCUGGCUGUUUUUCAAAAAGCCCAACUUGUUUUUGAGCUAAGAAACAAUUAGUUAAUUAACACUAAAAAUGGGUAGACAUUUUAGCAGAUGUUGAAACCUAAUUCUCUGAAGAAGCAAGAAAAGUUUUCUGUCAAAAUAAGAUAGUAGAAUACUACCUUUGAAAGACACUAGCUGGCCAUUCUGGUCAAAUAUCAUCUGGUUGGAUACAACCCUGACAUUUUUGAAGGAUCUAUGAAGUUUCUGCCUGAAUACCUGGAUGAUGUGAGCAGGGAAGGCACCACAUUUCAGUAGCAAAUUAGUGCAUGCCAAUGUAUUCAUGUUCCACUAACCAACAAAAACACCUGACCUCCUCUAUUAUAUCGGCAAGACCAGCAGAAAAUACAAGAACUGGAACAUCUUUUUCCUGCAUAUCAUGAAGAAGCAAUUAAGGCAGCACUCAUCCUGAAACAUGCUCUAGUUCAGUGAAUUCACGCCCAGAAUAUCAGAUUCAUUUCAGUCUAACUUGAAGAUAUUGAUAUGCUGUUAUCGUUCAUUGCAGCUUAAAUCAAAGCCAAAUUUGUCACAAUGACGAAAAGGUACCCACAUACCAAAAAUUAAAGUUGCAAAAAUAAAUAUUUCAUGUGCUCUUGGUGAAGGUAAAAUAGCAUGUACUAGAGUUUCAAAUUUUCUGUCAUUUCAUCCUGAAGCAAUAGAAUUAAAGAUCAGCUCAACAGAAGCCACAAGCUUCCACCUCUACAUUAUGCUAACAAAACACAUAAAUUAAGUAUGUUUUGGAGUAUUUAUUUAACUUCCAUAAUACAUCAUCAAAAGUAUAGCAUACCUAAACAAAAAUUAUGAAUCCACUUUACCUCCAAAAACUUGAAUAGUUCAACUACACCCUCCCUAAAUGCAAUUGUAGAAUUAGUCACAGAUUUCUUAAUUGCAUCAUAGGUAAGGCCUCCCUCAACAAGGAGAGCAUGACUUUUUCCCCACCUGCAUGAAAUGGCAGGGCUUCAGAUGCUUCCGACACAAUUAGAAUUUUUUGAGUAGUCCAUAAUUUACUAAGUUGAAAUUUGAUUGUCAUGUUGUAUGCAGCUGUCAUUCUUAGAUAAACUGUUUUCUAUCAAGGUACUUGAAGCUCUCUAUUUCGAGCUGUCAUAAGGCUCACAUAAAAUGCAACAACUAGCUUCUACUAGUACUCAGUUCACAUACCACUCUUCCAUGAGUUUUGCUUUUUGAUCGAGUGGAAUUGUUGGAUCAAAUUCCAAAGGAUGGUAGUAUUCAUAUAACUUCUGCCUCUUCUCAUCAUAUUCAGGACUCCCUUGCCGCAAAAGACCGUGGCUACCUACAUUUGUUGUUUUUCACCCAAGUCAGUCUUUUGUUGCCAAAACAUAAUUAUAAGUGUUCAGUACAAAACACAAUCAAUUUCUCUAUUUCUGUCUGGAUUUAUUACUUACAAUUUAAAACUCUGAUGGAAAUUAAGAAAAAGGCACAACUUUUUAAUAAGCAGGGAAUAAAAGAGAACUUACUUUGCCCUCGACGUCCAUCGAUCCAGUACUUCGUUAACGUAGCAUCAAAAUCUGCAAUUACCUACAAACAAAAAUAGUUAAGGACAGGAGCCUUACAUGAAGAGAAAAUAUGUAAAGACAGGAAUUCAAACAAUAAACAUUUUGGGAACUCUAACAAUUACGGGCAAAGAUCUGACCUUUCAAAAAUGAGGUCUAAUGUACCUUGACAUUGUACCUUUUUUUGGCUAAGUCUUUGACAUUGUACUUGACAAAGCAUGGAAAAGAAGCCUAUACAUACAUUUAUCUUUACGCUGCUAGUCUUUUUCAGUAGUAUAUGGGACAUGGUACUUCAUGGAGAUAACAUGUUACAUAGCUCAUAAAUGCUUUUGAAGCAUAAUCCGAUCAAAUGGAAAUCAGGAUAAUCUAAGACGGACAUAGCUCAUCGCACCACAAAAUGGGGUUAUAAGGAAACCAAUUACAACUAUCCAUGGUUUUGUUUUUUCCCCAAUUUAGAAUAAAAAAGAUCAAUAUGAUAACGAAUAACCCGCAGUUACAUUGCAUGAUCACUUUGGAAAUUAAACAACUAAUAUCUUUCCACAAUUUUGAGCAUACUCUUCCGUUCCAGAAUCAUGUAACCAACGCAGAAUUAUACACAAUUACUGAAUCUAGAUCAUAAUUUGUAGGUAAAGCUACCUAAGUAGGAAAUUCUUGGUUUAUGUAAUAGUAGCACAAUGCAGAACUAUUUAUAUCAAGAAAAAAUCAUUCAAAAAAAGAAAGAAAAAACCUGGAGCUUUUCGGGACCCGCAAGGCGAAUAGAAGAAAUCUUGUGGCGAAGGGAUUGAGGGUCCUUGACUACAACCUCAGAGCCAUCGACAACUACGUGCUCCAUUGUUUGGGUUUCUUUUUGGUGAUCACUGCUGUAGCUUCUGCUACGUACACUUUUCUGUCUGAAAAUUAAGAAUUUAUUACAUAAUCGCUUUGUAUAUGAGGAGAAUGUACCAGAAUAAAAAGAGCGUAUGUGGGAUCGGUGGGGUGAGAAGUACAGCCAAAAAAAUGGAUGAAGUAGUGGGAUUUCAAGUGUUAACCUCCUGCUACUGGUGAUGGUGGUGGGGUUGUGUUGAGAUGAGGUGAUGGAUAUGAGAAGGCGGGCUAGAGCAGUGCUAGUGUUCCUAAACCGUAUGUUAGUAGCACCGAGGUUGAUUUUAGGAAGGAAUUGGAGUCUACAAUAGUGGUGAGAAGUGCCCAUGAAGUUGGAAACGUGAGAUACUGAGAUGUUCUACUUGUACUUCUUCCACGCCAUUACUGCAGGAAUAGGAAUUUUCUGUUUUUCCUUGCGCCACCUGUCAUGUUUCCAUCUCCUAUCUAGUAUCUAGUACGGGCCUUUUUUAAGGAAAAAAGAAACAUUAUUGUCCCCUCUUUUCUUGAUUUAAGAGUAACUCCAUGAGCUAAGGGUUAUUCUAGUUUUUUUUUAAUAUAUAAAAAUUUGGAUAAAUUCGAUUCUAAUCACUAUUAGAAGUCGAAGUGUAUGUUUCGAAAUCCAUGGUCGAGAAAUUUGUAUAUACAAUUCAUCAAAGCUUUCCCCGCAUCUAACAACAAAAACUUCUAAUGGUGUUUAUAUAAAAAAUUUACCUUUGGUCCAUCUCAGUGACACGGAUCGUACUUGUCCGUGAGCGCGACAGUGCCUGGCCAACCAAGUCAUGCACAUUGUACAUAGUGUCUUGGCAGAAAAAAUUGAGACCGUUAGUAGACCCAUAUCUCAUUCUCGUAGGUAGUAUAUGUUAGAAGCUUUCGGAACGUUCUAGGCUAUUCAAGAGUCUUAUGGAAUGGUUUAGAGCCUUGUAGAUAAGAAGGGACUUGUGUAAAUGCUUCUAGAGUCCAAUUGUAUGUACACUUUGUGUAGAAUUCUCUAGAGUUGUGUAUAGUUUCUUAACUUGCCUAUAAAUAGGUAAAAUCCUUUCCAUUUGUGGCAACCUUUGUACAAGAAUUUUUAAGUGCAAUAAAGCUUUCCUUUGCCUCCCAUACUCUCUUUCUUUGCUUACUAUUUUUAUGCUUCCGCAAAACUUCAGCACACUUAGUGUUUAGGUUGAACUAGCCAACCGUUCAUAACUCAAGUCAUGAACGAUAGCUAGUGCCGCACGGAGUGUUGGCUUGUAGGAAAACAAACAACCUAUGACACUAGAAGGUUGCAGCCCAAUAAAGGCUCAAAAUAUUAUCAGAAAUUGCAUAAUAAGAAGAGUUACAAUGGUGUUUAUAGAUUGUAUAUUGACAAAGAAUAGCUGCAAAUGAGAUUCAAACCAAGAAUACUUUUAAAUGACUUUAUCACUAGAGUCAACCCCUAUUUGCCCAAGACUUUCUGGUCUCAAACAUACUAUUUGUAAGGAUGAUGUCAGGACCAAAUACACUAUCACCUGGUCGUUUAGUGUAGCGAUUCUUGCGUUUAGCCAAUAAGUAGUAAUACGGCACCGUUCUACUUAAAGAAUGGCGGUGAAUGUAAUUAGCGCGCAUUUCUGUUGGGAUAAAAUUGCAUAAAUAGUCCCUCUGCAUUUGUAAUACGGUUAUGAUGAGUAAAUGCACAGAAUCUCUUUCUCUUUCCUUUCUGUUAGCUUUUCUCUCUCUUUCUUCUUGUUCUCUCUGAUCCCUUCUUGUUCUUCUUACCUUCAUGCCCUCUGAACCCAAUUCCAAUUCCAGAAAUUAGCUCACGACCCUGACAUUUGGUAUCAGAGCGGUCGAUUCUUGGCCGCGAAGAUAUCUAAUAUGGCGGAGAGCACUCGAUUUAGAAGUUUGGAAGAUCAACUCAAGAAACAGGAUAGUAAGCUGCAGGAAUUGAUGGAAUCGGUGGCGACCAUGCAGAACGCAAGUGUCGGAGAGCUGCAGCAGAAUCUUCAUGUCGAAAUGGAUCAAAACAAGGCGAAGUUGGAGGCAAUGGUGGGGAAUCUGGACCAGAAAUUCAAUAAGAUGGAGCAGAGGUUCAGUACGAUGAUGAGGUUGCUGAUGAAGGAGAAAGGCAUCUCUGACUUGGACGGAGGAGGAACUGAACCAAUCUUGCCGACGCCUCCAUUGCAUCUAAGAUUGACACCUCCAAACGAAGGGCCAAAGAGCCAACCUGAGUUAAGAGGUAGGCAGUUCAUUCCUAAUGUGUCUCGUAUGGAGUUGCCAAUGUUUAGUUCUGGGAACCCUAGGGAGUGGGUAAGGAAAUGUCAAAAGUAUUUCCUGAACUAUCAGAUAGUAGAAUGUCAGAAAGUAGAUGUAGCAGAAAUAUUUUUGGAAGGGAAGGCUGACAACUGGUUUCAAGGGGUAAAACUUGUGAAACCUGGACUGUCUUGGGGAGAAUUUAGUGAGCUACUGUGCGAGAGGUUUUUUGGAAGCAACUCCCGUGACAUAGUGGAGGAGUUUAAUAAGUUACAUCAGAAGGGCACUGUUGAAGAUUAUGAGGAGAGAUUUGAGGAAUUGAAGACGCUUAUGCUAAUGAAAAAUCCUAGGUUAGAUGAGUCGUACUUUGUUUCCAGUUUUAUUAGUGGACUCAAAGACGAAAUUAAACCUAUGGUGAAGAUGUUCAGACCACAGACAUUAAUGAAGGCUUUCGAAGUUGCAGAACUCCAAGAAUGUUCCCUGGAAAUCCAGACCAAACAAAGUAAGGCCGCAGGAAGGGGGGCAGUAGAACCAAGAUUUGGAAUGUAUAAGAAUUCCACACAUGACCAGGUUCGCCAACACUCAUACAAGUUACCAGCAAUCAUCCCUGCCGCUAGGAAAACUGAUUCAAUCCAUCAAGACCUCAGUAAGAUAUCAGCUGAGGAAAUGCAGUAUAGGCGUAAGCAUGGCCUGUGUGGGGAAAAAUUUGGAGUAGGACACCAGUGCAAGAAAGGAAAUCUGAACUGCUUGAAUACUGAAGAGGAGGAGGAGGUUGAAUUCGAGGAUGCUGAGGGAGAGCAAGAUGAAUUCACUGGAAGGGUUGGAGAAUUAGCAGAAGUGUCCCUAAAUGCAUUAUCUGGAGCCAUAAAAAGGAAGUCUAUCCUGCUGAUAGGCAACUUAGGGGGACUUCCAGUCAAGAUCUUGGUAGACACAGGAAGCUCUGACAGCUUUAUCCACCAUAAAGUUGUCAAUCUGCUGCAUUUGCCAUACCACUCAGUCAAUCCUUUUACUGUGACCUUAGCAGAUGGGACUGACAUCACUAGUGGUGCCAUUAGCCCCAAUAUAAGCUAGGUGAUACAGGACUAUCAAUUCCAAUUUGAUCUGAAGAUAAUGGAGUUAGAGGGAUGGGAUAUAAUACUGGGGGUAGACUGGAUGUGCCAAUUCAGUCCCAUUACAUUUGAUUUCCAUUCCCUCAGUAUUACACUCAGUGACAGAGGGAGUUUACUGCACUUGCAAGGUUUUGUGAAUCAACCUGCAAUGGGGCUAGUGAGGGGCAAGGACCUCAGGACAUUCAUACAGGAGAAGCAAACAAGCUGUGUAGCAUUGGAGACAGAAGUAACAAGGGGGUCAGAAGAUCAGCUUCCAGAUCCCAUAGGAAGAAUCCUGCAACAGCAUUCAGAGGUGUUCUCCACUCCAAAGGGCUUAUCCCCAGAGAGGGAGCUGGAUCACCAGAUCAACCUCAAACCUGGUGCUGAGCCUUUUAAACUCAAGCCAUACAGGUACCCCCACUCCCACAAAGCAGAAAUCGAAAAGCAGGUUGCUGAGAUGCUCACUAAUGGAAUUAUUGAGCACAGCACUAGUCCUUUUGCUUCCCCAGUAUUAUUAGUUAAAAAGAAGGAUAAUUCUUGGAGGCUCUGUAUAGACUAUAGGAGACUGAAUGAAUUAACCGUAAAGGACAAAAUUCCUAUCCCAAAUAUAGAUGAGCUGUUAGAUGAGUUACAUGGCACGAAAUAUAUGUCUAAGCUAGACCUCAGAGCUGGCUACCAUCAGCUAAGAGUUAAAGCAAUUGACAUCCCCAAAACAGCUUUCCAGACACACCAUGGCCACUUUGAAUUCUUGGUGAUGCCUUUUGGGCUGACAAACGCUCCAGCCACAUUUCAGGCAUUGAUGAACAGAAUUUUCCAGCCAUACCUGAGGAAGUUCGUUUUGGUUUUCUUCGAUGACAUUCUGGUGUACAGUUCAACUUUGGAGUCGCAUGCACAGCACCUGCAAAUUGUACUCAAUGUACUAGCAGAAAAUCAGUUAUAUUGCAAAAGGUCAAAGUGUUCUUUUGCUCAAACUUCAAUUGAGUACCUGGGGCAUAUAAUAUCUGAAGCAGGAGUGAGCAUGGACUCUACUAAGAUAGAGUGCAUCAAAUCAUGGCCUGUUCCCAAAACAGUAAAGGAAUUAAGGGACUUUUUGGGAUUAACUGGUUACUACAGAAGGUUCAUAAAGGGGUACGGGGUGAUCAGUAAACCACUCACACUCCUGCUUAAGAAAGAGGGAUUCACAUGGAACCACAAUGCUCAGAUGGCUUUUGAAGAUUUAAAAAGGGCCAUGACCACAGCCCCAGUGCUGCGUAUGCCAAACUUUGAACUUCCUUUUGUGAUCGAAACUGAUGCCUGUGGGGUUGGCAUUGGGGCAGUAUUAAUGCAACAGGGACAUCCCUUGGCCUUCCUUAGCAAAGCUUUAUCAGCUCAGAAUUUGGGACUGUCGGUCUAUGAGAAUGAGCUUUUUGCAUUAGUAUUAGCUGUGAGCAAAUGGAAGCAUUACUUAGUUGGCCAUCACUUUAUCAUCAAGACUGACCACCAAGCCCUUAAACAUCUGUUAGAACAAAGACUUACUUAUCCUCUGCAACACAAGUGGCUGACCAAACUACUUGGAUUGGAUUAUGAAAUACAAUACAAGAGGGGCUCGGAAAAUGGGGUAGCUGAUGCCCUGUCCAGAAGGAGAAUGGAGGGAACUAACAUGGGCAGUGAACAAGCUGAGCAUCAGGUAAGUGCCAUUUCCACAGUCCAACCUGGGUGGAUGCAGGAGUUGUUAGAAAGUUAUACUGGAGACACAGAGGUGCAACAGAAGCUAGCUGAGUUACUACUGGAUCCCCAGGCAGAUCCAGAUUACCAGGUGGAAGGAGGAAUACUCAAGUUCAAAGGGAAACUGUAUGUAGGCUCAGCUAAUGACAUCAGGGUCAAGUUGAUCAGGCUCUUGCAUGACUCAGCAAUUGGGGGGCACUCAGGUCAAAGGGGAUGUCUGCACAGAAUACAGGCUUUGUUCCAUUGGCCUGGGUUAAAAAGGGAUGUUAUCCAAUAUGUCAGAUCCUGUGAUGUUUGACAGAGGAACAAACACGAAAAUGUCCCUUAUCCUGGUCUACUGCAGCCUAUUCCAGUGCCUCAACAAGCGUGGUCACACCUCACCAUGGACUUUAUUGAGCAACUGCCACCAUCUCAUGGAUUUGACACCAUACUGGUAGUGGUGGAUCGAUUCAUCAAAUUCAGUCACUUUAUCAAGCUCACUCAUCCUUAUUCUGCACAGCAGGUGGCUCAGAUUUUUCUUGAUAAUAUGUACAGGCUACAUGGCCUACCAGAAACAAUCAUAUCUGACAGGGACAGGAUCUUCCUUAGUAACUUCUAGCAGGAACUGUUCAGUUUACUGGGGGUGAAUCUACACUAUAGUUCAGCAUAUCAUCCCCAGUCGGACGGACAAACUGAAAGGGUCAAUCAGUGCUUGGAAAACUACCUCAGAUGUAUGUACAGUGACCACCCUUCCCACUGGAGUAGCUAGCUACCUACAGCUAAACUAUGGUACAAUUCUAACUUCCAUACCAGCUUGCAGAUAACACCCUUUGAGGCGUUGUAUGGAUAUAAACCUAGUCACAUACCCCUAGGACCUUUCCAUGAUAGUAUCAUACCUGCUGCCAGCAAUAUGGUCCAGUCAAGGCUUCAGGUCAUAGCUCUCAUCAAAGAGAACUUGGCCAAAGCUCAAAAUCGCAUGAAGGUUUUUGCUGAUAAACAUCGUUCAGAGAGAGUAUUCCAGGAAGGGGAUUGGGUAUUUCUCAAGCUACAACCAUAUAGGCAGCAGUCAGUUGCUAUUCGUAGAAACUUAAAACUAGCUGCUAAAUAUUUUGGACCCUUCCAGAUUAGUGCAAAGGUGGGAACAGUAGCCUAUAAACUCAACUUACCAGAGGGAGCCCGGAUUCAUCCAGUAUUUCACGUUUCAUUACUCAAGAAGAAGAUAGGACUUGCACAGAGUGUGGAUUCCAACCUGCCAGAAUUGGAUGCGACAGACCAAUGCUUAUUAAGGCCAGAGAAGGUUCUCCAGAGAAGGGCAGUAAUGAGAGCUGCUCAACCAGUCGUCCAAUAUUUGGUAAAAUGGAACAAUUUACCAAAGUCGGAGUCAUCCUGGGAGGAUAGAAGCUUCAUAGACAGUCAAUUCCCAGACUUCCAAGCUUGAGGACAAGCUUUUGCUAAGAGGGUGGGACUGUCAGGACCAAAUACACUAUCACCUGGUCGUUUAGUGUAGCGAUUCUUGUGUUUAGCCAAUAAGUAGUAAUACGGCACCGUUCUACUUAAAGAAUGGCGGUGAAUGUAAUUAGCGCACAUUUCUGUUGGGAUAAAAUUGCAUAAAUAGUCCCUCUGCAUUUGUAAUACGGUUAUGAUGAGUAAAUGCACAGAAUCUCUUUCUCUUUCCUUUCUAUUAGCUUUUCUCUCUCUUUCUUCUUGUUCUCUCUGAUCCCUUCUUGUUCUUCUUACCUUCAUGCCCUCUGAACCCAAUUCCAAUUCCAGAAAUUAGCUCACGACCCUGACAGAUGACAAUUGGGAGCACCCACCCCGCGAGGGUUGAGGGGUGAGGCAGGACGGGAGGGAAUUUUUUUCCCCGUUAAGAAACGGGGCGGGGGACACCACCCGUUAGAAUAUAUAUAUAUUUAUAUGUAUAUUUAAUAUUUAAUUUAAUUAAUUACAAACUUCUAAUAAUAUUAUUAUUAGUUGUAAGUUUUAUAUAAUGUAUAUUAGUAUAUGUAAUAUAAUUGAUAUUUUCAAUUAUACGAAUAAUUAUACAUGCCUACUAAUAGAAAUUAUUAAUUAUUUAUACUAAAUUUACUAAUGCAUUUAUACUAAAUUCCUAAUUAUACUUAACACAAUAACACAUUUUUUCUUAAAAAAAUACAAUAAUAAUUUAGUGAUUGUAUUUAUUUCAAAAGCAAAUAUUUGACUACUUUAGUUGUAUUUGUUUCAUCAUGUUGGAUUAUAUUCAAAUAGUUUUUAUUUGAUUGUUUUUAUAAAUUUCAAUCGCGAAAUUACAAUGGAUAAUGAUUUGGUAAUAUAUUGAUAUUUUAGUACUUAAUUAUUUACUAAAAUUUGGCUCCAAUAAAAUUAAAUGACAAAUUUUUAUUAGUCCCGCGAGAGCACUCACGGGAGAAGCGGGACGGGAUGGGAGGAAGUAUUGGGCAGCAGGGGAGGGGUCUCCCACCCCAAACCUGCUCCGCUGCCAUUCCUAACUACUUGCUUGUUGGGAAAAAAAAACAUACUACUUGCUUUGUUACACAACAUAAAAAGGAAAUUAAAAAAAGGACAAAAAGAAAUAUAAAAUGAAUAAAAAGAGCUGUCAAUAUUCUUCUCUACUUGGUCAUAACAGGCUCUGGCCAAGUUUUUGAAGGCCUAUCUUGGAGGCGUUUUUAUUUGGGUCACCAGGAUCGACGAUGUAUACUAGUAAUUACAGGCCCAAAACUCCAGUAAUAGCCCUUGAAUUGCCGCUGUUCUUUUAAUCCAAGUCAUCUUCUAGGAAUGUCUACAAAUUGUUAGGAUAUUAUAUAUCUCACCUUGUCAACACAAGUUGAGUCAGUUGAUAAAAAUGAAUCACUUUCAUACAAAACAUCGUGUAUAUGAAUUCCACUAUCGUCCUCGAUGUGAGGGCUGUGUUGGUGGAUGAUUUAUACAAACCUCUAUCCUGAAAAUAUGACUGAAAUCGAAUCCAUUCAAACUUUUUAUUACCAAAAAAAAAAAAAAUCUAUCUCAUCUUGGUAUUCUCCUCUUAACUAUCCAAGAAAUACAUACAAAAUGGUAAAUCUGGCAUGUCUAGCGGUACCUUUAGUCACCUUUUCUUUUCUAUCUCAAUUAACAUGUGAACUCAAACUUUUCGAAAACUAGAUAUCAAAUGGAAAGUCUGUAAAACCGUAAAUAGAGAAAAAUGAUGGAAGAAAAUGACUUGUCAUGAGAUGACCAGAUCAGCAGCCCCCUGUCGUUUGUCCUGGCUGUGGUACCAUGCCAUUAUGGCUGUGUCUUAAGUAUCGCUUUGAUUUAUGGCUGAAAAACUUCGUAUGCGUGUGCCACAUUUAUCCUCGAUUGAACUGGAGCUGAAAUCCCCUUUUUUUGAGUAAGGCUGACAAGCGAAGUUUGUCGUUUUUUUUAUUUUUAUUUUUAUUUUUAUCUUUUCUCGCACCUCUCCAGUAAUUCAAGUAUGCUAGUGUCAUGCACCAAAAUACUUUACCAAUUAUCCUUUUCCCCCCUUUUCAUUUCAAAUCGUUCAACUUAAUUACCCUGCAAACAACCUUAUGAUCACUAGGCAUUGGGUAUAUUAAAAUCCUUUUGAUGCCUGCAAAACGAGCAAUUGCCCUUCAUUGAUUUGUCCCAUCUUUUUCAUGGCAAAAAUGCUUUUCUUUAGAUUAAAGAAUGGGAACUUAAAGGUGAAGACGAGAUGUAUAACAACUCGGAGCACUCUAUUUGCUUCGUACUUUACAAAUACUUUUGAAGCUUGUUACCAUGAAAAAUUGAUUGACAAAGAAAAAGUAAAAGCGCCAUAAAAUUCUCCCAGAUCAAGCCUAAAACAUUCUCUGUAAAGUUUCCGGAAUAGUAGAUUCACUAGAUCCUCUUUGGCAGAUGCAGUUUCCUUUCUAAGGAUAGAUGCAUUUCUGAACUGAAAAACAUUUAGCACCUCAAAGCAAGGAUGGCACUUUAUUUCUUCUCUUUGCAUAUAAUGAAAGUGGAUUCACUUCUGAUCCCUUACAGUUUACAUGAACCAGAGGACCCCCAUCUUUUAACUUCCGACUUGCACUAAGAAGUCCAAAGCCAAUCAAAGAAUAAGACCAUGCAAUAAUUCAACAACACAUGGGGCAUAUGAGCAAUCCGUUCUCAUUACAUUGUGGACAGUUGAUGGACUCACCACCCCCAUCUUCCGGUGUGAUUUUCUGGCUUCCGUUGCAGUUGAAACACAUGAUAAACCUUACACCAGCACAUCCUUCGCAGUGCCCGUUAGAGGAGUCAAUAGGAAUUCCUUCGAGCAAUGGCCUAAGCCUUCCCUGUUCAUGCAGUCCCAAAACCUCCUCUGCUCCACCAACGUACCUCCCCUUAAUAAACAGCCUGGGAGGCACCACUUUUCCACCAAAUAUCUGCCAUAACUCUUCCCUAAACUCUGAAUGCAUUGAUAUAUCCCUCUCAAAGAACAAAAUUCGGAAAUUUUCCAACAAAAAUCGAAUACUGUGACAGUCUUCAAACGUCUUUCGAAUCCCUCUAAGCCCUGUCGUGUACAGAAUCACCGAAUCAGAACCACCUGGUGGACACUUCUCUUCAAAAUUUAAUAAAGGAUCAGCAGUUUCCUCAAUUUUUCGAGCUUUUAGAGGCGGUUCUUCCUCGAUACCUUGCCAAAUUUUUUCCUCUAUUUUAGCCCUUCUCUCUGCUUCUUGUGCUUUAACUUCCAUGACUGCUUGCUCGAAUGCUUCAAGAAGAUUGGGAUCAAAGAGGGUUCCAGAAUCCAAAUUCGGCCUCCUGAAAUUAGACCCAUUGAUCUCAGCUAGGGGCGCAGCUUUUGUAUCUUCACCCCUCAACUCUUUCCGCACCGAAGAGUCGUUCUUUUGCUUUAAAGGGCUCAAGCUCUCCAGGUUCUCCGUGUUAAAGAAUGGAUUUUUUGCGCUUGAUUGAGGCCUAAUGUUCUCUUUAUCAUUGAUGUCGUCGUCAUCAAUCUCCAUCUCGUGAUCCUCAAGAUCUUUCAUUAGCUCCGAAACAUCAAUAAUCUCAGGUUCUUGAUCUCGAACAGUUCUCUGAAUAAUCUUCUUGGUCUCUUCUUGAAGCCGCACAGACUGAUUCUGAGCUUUGAUAGCUGAAUUGGGAGGUGAAUCAGGAACGUACCCAUCUGCUGCACUGACCUGAAGGAUCCUAUCUGGCUUCGGGUAACCAAUUGUUUUAAUGGUCUUCAAUUUCUUGAGCAGCUUUCCUUUCAUUGACUUCAUCUUUUCUCCCCUCUAAAUUGUUGUUUGCAGAAUCCUUUGUAGAAUAAAGUGAAUUGGAUAAAUUUUAAAGGUGGAAAAAUGCGUCUGUAAAAAGGAUGAGAGAAAGAUUAGGAGCAGGAGUUAUAACUGUAAUUUGAUUCUUUCAGGCGUUGCAGACUGGGAGAAGGAGAGAGAUGAGAAAGGAAAGCUGUUUAACGGCUAAAAUUUCUUCUGGCAAUUUAAAAUUUCAAAAUGAUUAGGUGGGAGAAGGUGUUGCCAACGAUAGCUGGACCUGGUUCCAUCUUCGAUUGGGCUCCACUGAAAGUAGGUUUCUGCUACUAGGUACUAGGCCCAUAUACUUGUACCAUGGGCUAGAGAGCCUUGUAUGGGUACUAUACUAUGUGUGGGGUUUCCAGCGCUUACAGGUCUCUUCUGAGUUUGGUCCAAAACCUUCUAAUGCUGCGGUAAAUUUCUAAAUGUAUGGUACUGGUAGUCCCUUCGUGGGUUUCCUUUGAACGGAUUAACUCCUAGGAAUACCGAUGAUCAAUUUCCGUGGCUCUAUUCUGUCCCUGAAGGAUGGUGAUGCAUCAUCGAUUUUCCAGCAUAUUAGAGAUAAAGACGAUGUUUUUCUAUUAUAGGCCCUGAAAUUGGUGAUGUUCGUACGUCAUUGUUGGACCGAAACUAUGCCAGUGGAAAUUGGAUUCUAAGAGAAGCUAAUAAAUUGGCUUCUUAUGCAAAAUCUAGCGAUCUUCUAUGGACUUUGUUAAACAAAUCAUGCUGGAUAAUUUCUAACACCCUCAUUAAUAAAUCUUCUUUAUUUAUUAAAAAAAAUUUCUGGGAACACGUCUUUGUCUCAUUUUUCUUAAAACCUUUUUUGUAAGAUUUACAUAAUUCAAGAAGGUUUUAGCUUACUGACAAACAUCAAAAUUCCAAGAUUUAGAAGUUCUAGAUUCACAUCCUUCAUUUUCCCUUCCCACUUCUUGAGUCUCACCUAAUUCAGAUAUGCUUUACAAUUUAAGCUGCAGCCUGCAGAGGAGAUGAAAUGUAAUCCAAAAAGGAAAACAUCAAAACAGGAAGCAUUUUGUGAGUUAAGUAAAAAUUGAUGGAAUUAAAUAUUGGCAUGUGUUCUGGUUGUCUAGUACUAUACUUGACUGAUAUACUUGGAAAUCAUAAAUUUGCAGCAACCGAAAAUAUCAAGAUUUAAACAGGAGAAAAGUGAAAGCAGCAGAAAUCAUUCAUGGUUUAUGGGAAAAAUUAGAGUCAAUUCAUUAUUGUCAAUGUGAUACAUGUGGAGAACAUUCUGAUUCACUUGGCCUCCUUUCCCUUGCCGGAAGUCACCGUCAUUCUCUUCUUUAAAGUUGAGAGUCAGUCAUCAUACUUUAAUCAUUCGUAACCUUUUCCUCUGACCUUUGCUUGUGCACGUACGUUAAGAAAUGCCUGGAAUUAAUGAAAAGCUCUUUCAUUACAGAUUACAGGGAAAUAAUGAAAGAAAGAAAGACACCUCUCUUCCCCCCCCCCCCAACCAAAAACGAAUUUGAAAGAAAACCAUGGGUAUAGUAGGGCACUGGUGUCGGGGUUGUGACUAAAAUUUGAGCUUAUUAGAAAUUUAGGUCUCCAUAUUAGAAUAUUUGUUAUCGAUUAUACUUGUGCUUGCAAGGUUAUGGGCUAUCACUGCUGUUUCGGAGAAAACUAUGGAGGGAACACAACACAGUAACCCAAUCUCGUAAUGAAGUUUUAGACUAUUUGUUGUUAGAUUAUAUACUAGGCAUUAUUGCGUACAACUUUCUACAGUUCAAGCAGGCAAUUAAUAUGAAUCGAACUUUUAUGUUUAUUCAUGAAAAUAGUUUUGAGUAAGAACUCUUUAUGCUAAUGAAAACAGGUCUGGCUAAAGAAUAAAAUAGCCCUCGUCUAACCAUUCGCAGAGGGGAAAUUCUUGCCCAACCAUUUAUGCUUAAUUUGUCUCCACUUCUUUAGAGUUUGUUAUGCAAUCAUCUGCAUUAAUUGGCCCAUAACCCCAUUUAACUCUGGUUCACUCUAAUUUAAAUCUGCACCUAUUCAUCGCAAUGGCCGGUUAGACUAGCGAUACAUUUUCAGGUUACCCCAUCCUCAACGUUUAUGUCAAUUUUGUUUAGAGGAGACAAAAGCCCUGCAAAUUUUCAUGUUGGAUUUUAUUCCGGCAAGGGUAAAUGGGGACGGUCUUGAUUAGCCGUUACAUCCCUUGGCAUUUACUAUCCCGACUUUUCGUUUUCGUAUUCUCCAAAUCUGACGAACUACUUAACCGCUUCACUAGUUCUCUUGGCAAAGAACAAAUAAAAUUCUUAUCCAAGAUCGAAAAAUGCCUACCCGCCUUUUAAUUUCACCAGCAUUCAUCAUUCUUCCUUCACUGUUGAUUCAGUCUUUUGGCCUAGAAUACAUUGUGGGAGACUCCUUUUGGUCCAUCCCCACAACCAAUGACUUCUAUACUAACUGGUCUUCUUCCCACUUUUUCCAGACAGGAGACACUCUCUGUAAAUGCAAUGACUUGUCACUUGUACAGAUUGAGAUUCGAGAAUCAAUCAUUUCAAUUUGAGGCUACGACACUUUAAUCCUGGCACUGAUACGCGGCUUUUUUUGUUUUUGUUUUUCUUUUUUCUGGGGUUAUGCAGAUUUUGACUUUGAUUCUGGGCUUCAUAAUGUGAUGGAAGUGUCAAGAAGAGAGUACGAGAGUUGCAGUGCAGACAAUCCCUUUAAGGUUUUAUGGGAUGGCCCGGCAAGUGUUGCAUUGAUGGAGGAAGGUGUGUUUUAUUUCGUAUGCAGUAUUGCAAAUUAUUGUGCAUUAGGCCAAAAGCUUAGUGUUGCCGUCCAUAGUGAGAAAAAUUCCCCACAUUCUGCGCCAACUUCAUCUCAAAGACCGCCAAAGUCUUCCCAGCCUUCACCGGAUGCAUCUAAAAUGCCACCACCUGCUAUGACACCAUAUUCAUCUCAGGCGCCUACAAGUAUGACGGAUUUGUCUGUCUCAUUAGUCACGGUGAAAAGUGCUGGCGAUCAAUGUUGCAAUGAUGCAGUCUGUUUGGGCUGGCUUUCUUUGUUUGGCUUACUUUUUCAUUUUAUCUGAGGAUAGCUUUUACGGACGUUGGACAAGCCAAAAAAUUAUGAAUUGGAGAUUUUGGACUGUGUGUAUACUUUGGAAGGGCAGAAACACUUUUAGUAAAUACAUCAGGCAAGUUCAUCUGGUUGGUGUGACCUUAUUGGUGGCCCAUAAUUUGCAAUUAUUCAGGGAAGCAGUUUCUUGUUUCCGUUACUUAAUUAGGUGGCAAUUGCUUCUUGUCCUCUCUGCUUAUUUCUUCAUAAAAGGAAACUUUGGCCAUUGUUAAUUAGGUUUUCUUUUUCAUCUUUUUAAUUGCAUCAAUCUACACUCUCAGAAAUUCUGAUGUUCAAAUUAGUACAAGUUCUUUGCUGCUACUGCCUGCACCAAAGAUUCAAACUUCGGUACAACUUGUACCUUAAGCACAGCAAUGUAAGUUGGAUUAGUGAAACGUAUAGACCUAAAUGAUCUGAUGCAAAUUUCAAGUAUCUAUCACUGUGAGGUCUGUCUCAUGCACUUAACCCUUAAACAGUGCAAAAACAGUAUUUAGUAUAGCAUGCAAGGAGAAACGAAAGGACCAAAAAAGACGAAGGAAUGAUAAAAAUCUUGAUUGCCAUUGAAACUUAGAUAUUCAAUUUUUCUUGAAUAUAUAUCACUUAACCAUAAAUUCUAAACACAAACCUGAUAAUCUUAACCAUAAAUUCUAAACACAAACCUGAUAAUCCUAUGCAUCUUUCUAUCUCUAUCUAUCUAUCUAUCUUGUAGAUAAGGGAACCAUAUAUCUUACAUAUUCAAUUUUUCUUGAAUAUAUAUCACUUAACCAUAAAUUCUAAACACAAACCUGAUAAUCUUAACCAUAAAUUCUAAACACAAACCUGAUAAUCCUAUGCCUCUUUCUAUCUCUAUCUACCCAUCUAUCUUGUAGAUAAGGGAACCAUAUUCUCCACAGCGAGAGGAUGUUCCAGGGGAGAUGGCAUUGGUGAAUUUCGACAGACUGGACAAGUGGGGUUAAGCUUUAACCAAGGAUCAACGCACUUGAGGUGGAAAAAAUGCCCACAUUCAGGUAACAGUCUGAGCAUAUCCGUAUCUUUGUAGUCCUGCAAGCAAAUUGAGCAGCCUGAAGCUGUGCCGGCACCUUCAGGAUUCUUAGCUUGAGAAUAGAGGAGUUUUGGAUAUGAAAGUAUGGUGGCUUCAUCUAAGCCUUGUGGGAUGCUCGCUGAAUCAUCAUUGACAGAGAAAGAGGCUGCAGUAGUAUUCAUGGAGUUUCUGCGAAGGAAGGGGUGGUUUCUGUUGUUAGUAUUGGAACGGAAGCGAGUGUAGAUGUAAUAACAAUAUGUGAUGAUUAUGAGAGCUAGAAGGAUCCCAAAAGAAAUUCCAAUGCUAUAGCCAUAGGGUCCAACGGUUUCUGGACCUUGAUUAUCACUGGGUUCAUCUUUGGUUGCCUCUGAUGUGCUAUUCAUUUUACAAGAAUGGAGAGAUUUUUUUCAGGAGUUGUACGUGAGAUUGUGAGGAUGAAGAAGAGAGAAAAAAGGGAGAAUGGCUUCGUUGGGAUUCUCGUAUUUAAUAGUAAAAAAAAAGGAUGAUGAUUUCGUAUGGCGCAUUUCACAAGAAAUUGAUUUAGAGAAUUGAUAUAGAGUUUGACUUGUAGAAACGAUUUAAAUCAGCAUUUGUUGUCCAGAAACAGCUAAGGAGUACUGCAUAAUUUUCUUAAAAAAAAAAAAAAAAAACAGGGUUCAUCAGCGUAUAAUCGGGGCGGGUGUGUUCUUCAUCUGCCUUUUUUUUUUCCCUGGAUGGUGGACAGAACAGAAGAUAGCUUCGGGCUAGUUGCUUCCAGCUUAGUCAGUAUUUGCAGAAGUCAAACCGCCGUUUUCUGAACAAGGAUACUCAAUACAUAUUCCAUUUCAUAUAUUUGCUGACAGAAAUAUCGAAUUCUUUGUCGACAUUUUCCUAAAAUGUCGGAUUCAUUACAAUUUAUAUGAUGAUUUUGUAAUAAGUCUCGAUAUUCAAUUUUGAGAAAAGUCUCCCAUCCUGUGGCUGCCAACCAUAUGAUAUGGCAGUUUUUAAAACGAUAUACUUUUGGAGACUGCCCUUAACCAGAGUUUUUUCAGACAAUGCACGUCUUCUUCUGCUGGUCGGAUUUUUCAUGCGCCAACAGCCAAAUGGCCUGUGGAUCCUUGCUUAUUCAGCCAAUUCCCAAUAACCAAGAGUCGAAACAACGCUGCAAGGUGAAUAACCAAGAGUCCAACGACAGAUUAACCUUGUACCUUUUUUUUUUUUUUUUUUUUUGUUGCUUGCCUAAUAUAAUAUGUAUCUCACCACAUCUAUGUCAUGCCCAAGAAUUAGGGGUCCCUGAUCCCAGAGUGGUUACAACUUACCAUCAUUAUUUAGAACUCAAUUAUGCCACUAACCAACAAGUCAUGAGAAGGACGUUUUAUCAUUAACUCUCAUGCGUUUUCAUCAAGUCGUUUCUUGCAAAUUAGGCCUGCUGUCGAAUUUCCUAUUCCAAAUGUUAGGCUUCGCUAAAUGAUUGCUACAGCCCUCCUUUAGCUUGUACUGCCAAACGCAUUCUUUGAGAUCGCAAAAACAUUCUUUGAAACUGUUUACGCCAUUCGACAGUUGCCGGCAAAAAAAGCAAGUGCCGGGUAGCCAACAGCAGCAUGGUGUUAUGUGAUUCUUUAAAACACAAUUAAGCAACUAUUGAAUUUAUGUAACGGGGAAAAAAAAAACAUUGUUCUUUGCCCCAUGUUCACUGAGAUUACUAUACUCAAUUUAUUUCUUGUAGUAAUCGUACACAAUUACGCCGCAGAAUCUGAGCUGAGACUUGUGAGCAAACCCAAAAUUGGGUCCUAAAGGAGUAUUUCCCUUAAUUCUGUCGUAUGUACAGAAGAAAGAAGGGAAGGAGAUGUCAAAAGAAUAGUAAUUAAAAAAAAAAAUUUUCAAUUUUGAUGCAUAGACAUGGGAACAACCUCUGCAAGAGGAGUUGGCAGCGGCGAGCUGCGACAGAUUGGGCAAGUGGGAUGAAGCAUUAACCAAGGAUCAAUACACUUGAGGUGGAAGAUGUGGCCGCAGUCGGGCAACAGCCUGAGCAUGUCAGUUUCUUUAUAAUCAGACAAACAGAUUGAGCAGGCUGAAGCAGCGGGAUCAUCUCCUUUGUGAGGCUUAGCCUGAGAAUAUAACAAUUUUGGGUAAUUCACAAGGGUCGCCUUAUCCAGGCCGCCUAGCUGCUGCGCGGUGAUUGAAUCAUCAUCAUGGGUUCGGUAGAAGGAGAAGUUGGCGGUGCUGGAAUAAGAAGACAGCCGGUUGCAUUUGUAGGAGAUGUAGGAUAUGAUCACUAAUACAACAAGGAGUAGAAGUGAAAAUCCGAUGCUGUAGGCUACAUCAUCAAUAGCACCCUUACUGAAAUUGAUGCUAUUUGAACGACGACUACUAGAGUUGUCCACUGUGGUGCUAUUCAUUUUCUUCUCUGAAACCUAAGCCUGCCUUUCGAGAUGAAAAAGUAACGUUUACUAAAAUAUAUACAUAUAUAAGAAAAAAAGGGUAGAUGAUGGAAAGGAUUAAUCAGGCAGACUUGUUUGGUAAAGGAGGGAAAUUAAGAUUCUUGGAAGAGGAGAAAUUAAGGAUAGAGGUGAAGGUGUUUGUGUUUGUGAAAGAAAAAGAAGACGAUCACCGUCACUGGAUGUAUUUUGCACAAGCUUGUAGCUUGACUAGUAAUGUAUCUUUUGAUUGGAUGGAGAUGAAGGGUCAAUAUUUUGCGUGUUUAAAUGGCAAGUGCGCUUGUAUAUAUUCCAUCAGAUCUAAUCUGCAAUGUUCCCGACUGUUCAAAGUCAAUGAACUGAAAGGGACUCCUUUUCUCAUGCAUUCUAAUGGAAUUUGGUGCUUAGGUUGUAUAGUAUUUCUAAAAACAAACCUUGGUAUUUCUAAUUGCAAUCACAAAUUUUACAUUAUCUGGAUACAUACAAUUAGGCAUUUGACUCACUCUUCUGGCGAUUAACCAAAUUUACUACUAGUUACUUUUCUGGCCCAUAUUAAUGCAAUGGAAGUCCACAUCUAGAUUCUAAAACGCAAUAUGCAAAAAAUAGCACUUUGCUUCUAUUAUUUGCACAUAUUGCUCGAUCACAACCAAGUCAAGAGAGAAUUAAGAAGCAAAACAAUUGUAGACUAAACCGGUGACAUCCUGCCAAACGACUUCUCUUCCAAGCCAAGCAGGCGACGAGGCAACUAGACAGCUUUAAACCAUUAAAAGGAAAGACCUCAUUCAUUCUUGUCAGGCUUCUAAAGUAAACUAUCAUAUCUAGCCCUUGCUACUGCAACAAAUAUAGAAUAUGACUUGUGAAGCAGAAUUAACAAGUGAAUAGUGGGUAUUCAUUACCAUAUAUAGUUACUUAUAUUUUAGCGUUUAUUAGUUGCAUUUCUUGUAAGCAAACAAUAGAAUAAUGAGUCCUGGUUCUUGAUUGAUGGCAUGUACCCCCUUUGUGUGUGUGUGUGUGUUAUCUUGGCGUGAAUAAAUUUAAGGCAGCAUACAGAUAGCCCCUUCCCCCACAUGCAUGAAUGUGAUCUCUCAUUUUGAGUCACAAUUCUCCUCCUAUGAAUGUAUCCGUGUCUAUAGAAUUAGCAGUACAGUACUCCAUUCCCUAAACUUGGUUGACCCCAGCAAUGCACAUGUACUAUAGUGUGUGAAUAACAGCCGAUGAGUUGGAUUGGCAUUGGCUUCGUCAACGUUUGCACAUGCACUAUAUAAGCUGCAUUCGUCAUAGGCAACAACAACUACUACUACUAAAUUUCAUACUAAUCUGUACAAUUAAUAUAAACUGGGGAAGGGGAAAGCACUUUGAACAAGGGCUAGAUUCCAACUGAUUCAAACAAUUCAUUCAGCCACUUUCAUCCAACCAACUAGCUUAACCCCAAAUUUUGAUUGAUUACGCAAUAUACGAUUAUGUUCCGACGUCGUCUGUAUCACUGAAGAAAAAAGCAUGCAUGCAUGUGGAACACGUGUGUGUUUUCAAUCAGCUCAAACCAAAAAUACUAAAAAAUCGCCACGUCCCAAUACUACGCUUAUGACUUAAAUUUCUGUGGAAAGGAAAAGCCACCUACCUAAAGCCGAGAUUUCCGUGAGAGCUCAUAAUAGACUCGCGAAGCUGCUUUGCAUUAGCAGAAGGUUUAGUGGAUGGCAUUGCCAGUUGAACAUCAGAACGUGACAUGUAGUUGGGCUUCUAAAGGACAAAGGAUCAAGAUUUGUCAUGCAAACAACACAACACCGGGGGAAGGUCGCAGUCCAGGGACAGAGAGAUUCAGAAGGUGCUCCUCAGCCAGAAAGAUUAACCACCAUGACUAUGCUUUUCAAUUUUGAUUUUUCAUUUAAACCACCAUAAAAAAGAGGAAAGAGUAUAGGCGAGCAAAUAAACAACGAUAAAUCGCGGCCCAAAAAAAAGAAAAAAACGCCCAUGUUGUCACAAGGAUGGAUGACCCUGAGACUAGAAAGUGAAGCCACUGGACCGCAAGUUCGGCAGCACAUCAGACGCGAUUUCACAGCCCCCAUGCCUGCAGUGUACCUUCAGAAUAUAAACAUGGCUGUGAGUGAGGUUAAUUGCACCUGAAUUUGUGGGGCCCAAACCUCAAACUGCUACCUUUAUUCACCACACCCAAUGCCUCGCUGCAACCGUUCUUGUUCAUCGGAUUUAAAGCAGAGUACCGUUCAUACUCCUACAACAACAACAAGGAAAGAACAAAACUAAUGGAGUAAAGCCACAGCAGCAACAGAAUAAAUUUGGAUCUUCCCCUGGUUUAACAAGGACCUACCUGGCUUUACUACCACACAAUGCACGAUGUUAAAUAUCCACAUUCCUAACACCCGCUGCUGCGAUAGAAUAAAACAAAAGCAUGUAAACCGCAUAUCAAACUCGCGUUUUGAAUCACAAUGGUCCACUGUGAACAUUGGAUACAGUAUCAGUUUGCAAAGAAAUGCAAAAGUUACAAAUAGUUAACUAGCAAAUCUAAUUCUAAUUAAAUUGAGGACAAACAUUGUACAAAAUGUCAUUGCCUCAACAAACCUAUUAAAGCUUUAAUAAAAUACUGAUUCCUCGCUCAUCUCCUGGAUUUGGCUCCUU
rnacentral:lncRNA from 1 species